rnacentral:pre_miRNA from 1 species
AAUAGGAUAGCUGAGUCAAAUGGUGGUUCCAUUCCAAGUUUUCCAAGGAAUCUGCAGACUGCUUUCCAGAUUGGCUGCACCAAUUUGCAGUCCCACGAGCAAU